CACCACUGAACUUUAGCCUAGGCCACAGAGUAAGACCUGUCUCAGGAAAAGAAAACAAAAGAAAAGAAACCAUUACCAAAUCAAGGUCAUGAAGAUUUGCCCCUAUGAUUUUUUUCCAAGGUUUUUAUAAUUUUAGCUCUUACAUUUAGAUCUUUAAUCAAUUUUGAAUUAAUUUUUGUGUAUGACAUAAGGUAAGGGUCCAACUUCAUUCUUUUAUAUGUGAAUAUCCAGUUUUUCCAGCACCAUUUGUUGAAGAGACUGUUUUUCCCCAUUGAAUGGCCUUGGCACCCUUUUCAAAAAUCAGCUGACCAUAGAUGUGAGGGUUUAUUUGUGGAUGCUUAACUCUAUUCCAUUGGUCUAAUAUGCCUAUUAGCCUGUUCCCCUGGUCUGCAUGCCAGUACCACAUGUUUUGAUUACUGUAGCUUUGUGGUAAGUUUUGAAAUUGGAAUGAAAGAGUCCUCCAACUUCAUUCUUUGUUAAGAUUGUUUUGGCGAUUCUGGAUCCCUUGAAAUUCCACAUAAAUUUUAGGGUGAGUUUUUCCAUUUCUGCAAAAGAAACCAUUGGAUUUUUUUAUGGGAAUUGCAUUGAGUCUGUAGAUGACUGGGUAAUCUUGACAUCUUAUCAAUAUUAAGUCUGACAACGCAUAAACACAGGAAUGUCUUUUUACUUAUUUAGGUUUUCUUUAACUUCUUUCAGCAAUGUUUUGUAGCUUUCAAUGUACAUCUUGCACCUCCUUGGUUAAAUUUAUUCCUGCAUAUUUUAUUAUUUUUGAUGCUAUUGUAAAUGGAAUUGUUUUCUUAAUUUCUGCUUUGGAUUUUUUAUUGCUAGUAUACAGAAAGACAACUGAUUUUUGUACAUAGAUUUUGUAUCCUACAACUUUGCUAAAUUCAUUACUAACUCUCACAUUUUUGUGUAAGUGGGUGGAUUCUUUAGGGUUUUCCAUAUAUAAAAUUAUGUCAUCUUAAAAUAUAGUUUUGCUUUUUUGUUUCCAAUCUGGAUGCCUUUUAUUUCCAUUUCUUUUCUACUACCCCUGGCUAGGACAUCCAGUACCAUGUUAAAUAGAAGUGGUGAAAGCAAUAAAAGCUUCUGGUCCUGGAUUUUUCUUUGUUGAGAGGCUUUUGAUUACUGAUUUAAUUUUGUUACUUCUUACAGGUCUAUUUGAGUUUUCUAUAUGUUUGUAAUUCAGUCUUGGCAGGUUUUGUGUCGGUUCUGGAAGUUUGUGUGUUUUUAGAAAUUUGUCCAUUUCACCUAGGUUAUCCAGUCUGUUGUUGUACAGUUUUUCAUAGCAUUCUCUUAUAAUCCUUUUUAUUUCUAUAGUCAGUAGUAAUGGCCCUUCUUUCAUUUGUGAUUUUAGUAAUUUGGGUCUCCUGUUUCUUUUCUUUUUCUUUCUUUCUUUUUUUUUUUUUUUUUUUGAGACGGAGUCUCACUCUGUUGCCCAGGCUGGACUGUUUCUUUUCUUUUUCUUUCUUUCUUUCUUUUCUUUCUUUCUUUUUUUUUUUUUUUUUUUGAGAUGGAGUCUCACUCUGUUGCCCAGGCCGGAGUGCAGUGCUGUGAUCUUGGCUCACUGCAACCUCCACUUCCCGGGUUCAAGCUAUUCUCCUGCCUCAGCCUUCUGAAUAGCUGGGACUAGAAGUGCAUGCCACAAUGCCCAGCUAAUUUUUUGUAUUUUUAGUAGACAUGAGGUUUCACUGUGUUAGCCAGGAUGGUUUCGAUCUCCUGACCUCACGAUCUGUCCACCUCAGCCUCCCAAAGUGCUGGGAUUACAGGCUUGAGCCACCGUGCCUGGCCUCCUGUUUCUUAGUCUAACUAAAGGUUUGUCAAUUUUGUUGAUCUUUUCAAAGAACCAGCUUUUGGUUUCAUUGAUUUUUCUCUAUUUUUCUAUUCUCUAUUCUGCUUAUCUCUUCUCUAAUCUUUUGUUAUUUUCUUCCUUCUGCCAGCUUUGUGUUCAUUUGCUCUUCUUUUUUUAGUUCCUUAAUAUGUACUGUUAGAUUGUUGAUUUGAGAUCUUUCUUCUUUUUUGAUGUAAAUACUUACAGUUAUAAAUUUCCUUCUGAACACUGCUUUUGCUGUAUCUCAUAAGUUUUGCUAUGUUGUGUUUUUCAUUUUGACUUGUUUUAAUGUAUUUUCUUAUUUCCUCUUGUGAUUUCUUCUUUAACCUAUUGGUUAAGAGUAUGUUAUUUAAUUUCCACAUAUUUUUGAGUUUUUCAGUUUCUUUCUGUUAUCAAUUUCAUAUUUUAUUCCAUUAUGGUUGAAAAAUAUACUGUUUAUGAUUUUAAUCUUUUAAAAUUUAUUAAGACUUGUUUUGUGGCAUAGUAUAUGGCCUAUCAUGGAGAAUGUUCCAUGUGUACUUCAGAAGACUGGAUAUUCUGCUAUUGCUGAGUGGAGUGUUUUAUGUGUUCGUUAUGUCUAAUUGGUUUAUAGUGUUGUUCAAGUCUUCCAUUUCCUUAUUGAUUUUCUAUCUGGUUGUUCUAUCCAUUAUUCAAAGUAGAGAUAUUAAAGUCUCCAACUAUGACUGCAGAGCUGUCUCUUUCUUCAAGUUUGUCAAUUUUUGCUUCAUAUAUUUUGGGACUCUAUUUUUAGAUAUGUAUAUGUUUAUAAUUAUUAUAAAAUUUAAUAUUUAUUAGUGGAUUGACUAUUUUAUCAGUAUAUGAUGUCCUUCUUUGUCUCCUGUAACCCUUUACUUAAAAUCUGUUUUGACAAUAAUAUAUUAAUAGCUAUCUCAGCUCCCUUUAGCUCACUCUUUGC
rnacentral:lncRNA from 10 species